CAGCAGCCGCGGUAAUACGGAGGGUGCAAGCGUUAAUCGGAAUUACUGGGCGUAAAGCGCACGCAGGCGGUCUGACAAGUCAGAUGUGAAAUCCCCGGGCUUAACCUGGGAACUGCAUUUGAAACUGUCAGGCUGGAGUCUUGUAGAGGGGGGUAGAAUUCCAGGUGUAGCGGUGAAAUGCGUAGAGAUCUGGAGGAAUACCGGUGGCGAAGGCGGCCCCCUGGACAAAGACUGACGCUCAGGUGCGAAAGCGUGGGGAGCAAACAGGAUUAGAUACCCGCGUAGUCCCUGUCUCUUAUAC
rnacentral:rRNA from 1 species